CGGACGGGUGAGUAAUGUCUGGGAAACUGCCUGAUGGAGGGGGAUAACUACUGGAAACGGUAGCUAAUACCGCAUAACGUCGCAAGACCAAAGAGGGGGACCUUCGGGCCUCUUGCCAUCGGAUGUGCCCAGAUGGGAUUAGCUAGUAGGUGGGGUAACGGCGCACCUAGGCGACGAUCCCUAGCUGGUCUGAGAGGAUGACCAGCCACACUGGAACUGAGACACGGUCCAG
rnacentral:rRNA from 1 species